AUCAGUUACACAAUUUUCUCUUUUAGUUUAUUACUCAUGUAUAAGAAUUAUUUACCUAUCUAGCCUCUUUACAAAAAAAUAUUUCCUAUCUAGCCUUCUUUUGAAAAAUAUUCCCCAUCUAGCCUCAUUUUCAAAGAUUAGAGAAAAAAAGAGAAAUUAAUACCUUUAAUAUAUAUUAAGGGGUUAAGUGGGAAAAAUUAUCUUUUUCUCUCUCCUCUCCUAUUUCCCGAGAUCCCUUCUCACUCUCUAAUUUUUGCGUAUAAUUUAUCUCAUAUCGAUUUAUUUCAAAAUAGAAAAUUUUUAUAUAGCGCAUCAAUCAAUUCCAAUCUUUUUAUAUUUUGAUGGAAAUAUUAUGCAUGGUUCGGAAGGAGUUGAUUAUAAUGGUCCUGAUUCAAAACUAUUUGGAUUUCUCGUACUUUAGGUUUUAAUACAUUAAAACAUAAAAUUUAUAGGCCGAAUGGGAUCAAGAUUAUUUUGAUAUAAAAAUUAAUGGGAGAGGAGAGAGAAAAAGAUAAUUUCCCCCACUUAACCCCUUAAUAUAUAUUAAAGGAAUUAAUUUCUCUUUUUUUCUCUAAUCUUUGAAGAUGAGGCUAGAUGGGGAAUAUUUUUUAAAAGGAGGCUAGAUAGGGAAUAUUUUUUUGUAAAGAAGCUAGAUAGGUAAAUAGUUCCAUGUAUAACGUGAAAGUUUGGUAAACUAUCAUAUGAUCUG
rnacentral:lncRNA from 1 species